UGUUAUUUUUUUAUGAAAUAAAGUAAAACAUGAAAAAGUUUAUUUGAUUAAUGACAGAAAGACUGAAGCAGCUGUUUACUGUAACUGUUUUUCUUCCAUCAGUCUCAUCAACAACGACCACACAGAGUUCAGCAAGUUCCUCUGAGAGCUCUGAUAAGAACACAGGAACAUCUGGAGGAACAGCUGGCCCCUCCUUUUACCUGCUGCUGAUUGUUGCUCUGACUCUGACCUUCAUCGUCCUCCUCCUCACUGUGGCUCUGCUGAUGUUCUGCAGGAGAAAAUCUGCAAAACAUCCAACAGCUGUGGCGCAGACAGAUUAUCCUCCUGCUGCUGAGGUGAGUUCAG